AAUGAACGUUGGCGGCGUGGAUUAGGCAUGCAAGUCGUACGCAUAGCUUCGGCUAUGAGUGGCGCAAGGGUGAGUAAUGCGAAGGUAACCAACCCUGGUGUUGGGCAUAGCCGCGGGAAACUGCGGGUAAUUCCCAGCGACGUCACGAGAUGGCAUCAUCUUGUGACCAAAGGUGUGAUUCCGCUCUAGGACGGGCCUUCGUGGUAUUAGGUAGUUGGUGAGGUAACGGCUCACCAAGCCGACGAUGCCUACCGGGUGUGAGAGCAUGACCCGGCACACUGGAACUGAGACACUGUCCAGACACCUACGGGUGGCUGCAGUCGAGAAUCUUCGGCAAUGGGCGAAAGCCUGACCGAGCGACGCCGCGUGAGGGAUUGAAGGCCUUCGGGUUGUAAACCUCUUUCGUAGAGGAGGAAGGGGCCGUGAAGAACGGUCUUUGACCUAUUCUAGGAAGAAGCUUGGGCUAAGUUCGUGCCAGCAGCCGCGGUAAU
rnacentral:rRNA from 1 species